rnacentral:rRNA from 1 species
GUGCCAGCCGCCGCGGUAAUACCGGCAGCCCAAGUGAUGGCCGCUGUUAUUGGGCCUAAAGCGUCCGUAGCUGGCCGCACAAGUCCGUCGGGAUAUCCGCCCGCUCAACGGGCGGCCGUCCGGCGGAACCUGUGUGGCUUGGGACCGGAAGACCCGACGGGUACGUCCAGGGUAGGAGUGAAAUCCUGUAAUCCUGGACGGACCGCCGAUGGCGAAAGCACGUCGGGAAGACGGAUCCGACGGUGAGGGACGAAAGCCAGGGUCUCCAACCGGAUUAGAAACCCGAGUAGUCC